UGAUAUAGCCGGGUAAUGGCCUUUACUCUCUAGAGUAAGGGAGGAAAGUCCGGACAGCAGAACGGAUGGUGUCUUGUCGUAAGGCAAGAGCGGUUUAAACCGACAGUUAGAGCAACAGUGACGAUCCGGGUAACGCCGGGUGAAACGACCAAGUGAUCGGGUAGUUUUGACAACUGUCAAGACUGGCAAUCCUCCCAGCUGCGACUGCCGAACUUGACCUAAAUGGACCCGUUCCCUAUCACUGGCCUUGAUAAAGACCAGUAAAGGUCAUAAGGUGCAGGCCUAGGUAGAUCAUUACUUAAAACAGAAUCCGGCUUACGGGCUAUAUAUUUUA
rnacentral:RNase_P_RNA from 1 species